rnacentral:lncRNA from 1 species
GUCCUGCGCUCCCUGCUCCGAGCGUGGCGCGCGCGCCCCCUGGCGGCGGGAGAGAGCGGGAGAGCGAGGGAGGGGGAGGGGCGCCCCCUGGCGGGGAUGGGGGGGACUGCAGGGAGUGGGGACAGGGACAGGGACAGACACGGACAGGGACACAGGGACACAGGGACAGACACAGGGACAGACACAGGGACAGACACAGGGACACAGGGACAGGGACACAGGGACACAGGGACACAAGGACACAGGGACAGACACAGGGACACAGGGACACAGGGACACAGGGACAGGGACAGAGACACAGGGACACAGGGACAGGGACACAGGGACACCGGGACACCGGGACAGACACAGGGACACAGGGACACAGGGACAGGGACACAGGGACAGGGACACAGGGACACAGGGACACAAGGACACAGGGACAGACACAGGGACACAGGGACACAGGGACACUGGGACAGACACAGGGACAGACACAGGGACACAGGGACACCAGGACAGGGACACAGGGACACAGGGACACAGGGACACAAGGACACAGGGACACAGGGACAGUGCUUAGUGUGCCACAGGGUUUCACCCACCGACCUUCCAGCCCCACCCAGGCUUUGCAACAGGACACAGCAGGACACGGCAGGACAAGGCAGGACACCAGGACAAGGCAGGACAAGGCAGGACACAGCAGGACAAGGCAGGACAAGGCAGGACAAGGCAGGACAAGGCAGGACACAGCAGGACAAGGCAGGACACCAGGACAAGGCAGGACAAGGCAGGACACAGCAGGACAAGGCAGGACAAGGCAGGACAAGGCAGGACAAGGCAGGCAGGAGGGGGCAGAGCACAGGGAUGUUCUGGGACACUGGCACAGGGUGCCCAGAGCAGCUGGGGCUGCCCCUGGAUCCCUGGUUGUGCCCAAGGCCAGGCUGGACAUUGGGGCUGGAGCAGCCUGGGACAGUGGGAGGUGUCCCUGCCAUGGCUGGGGUGGCACUGGGUGGGUUUAAGGUCCCUUCCAACCCAAACCAGUCUGGGAUAUUCACCCAGGAUUCUGGGGCCAUGCAUGGGGGCACUGGGGCCGUGCACUGUGACACCAGGACAAUGCACCAGGCGUGGGGACAAUACAAUGGAGCCUCUCACCAAAGGUCCCAGGGGAUGGAGACUGGGACACUGCACUGGGGAUCUGAAUAUGGCACUGGGACAGUGUCACGGGGCCACUGGGCAGGAGCAGGGUCCCAUUGCACAGGGAAGGGACAGCUGGGUCAAGCAGAGCAAUUAAUUAUUGUCCAACUUCAUCCACCAUUCUUUUAUUCAGUGUAUA